rnacentral:tRNA from 1 species
GCGUUCGUGGUGUAGGGGUCAGCACGCUGGGCUCGUAUUCCAGAGGCCCGUGGCUCAAGUCCCGGCGAAGGCG